AACAUCCUUUCCUUGGGGUUGUGCUGCGGUCCAGUGAGGGCAUAGUGAGGACGGUACUGCCAUCACCUACAUGGCUUGGCCACAUCCACUAGAGCUUUGCUUUACAUUGGUGCAAUUUUUGGGGAA
ensembl:snRNA